GGCCACGUGGCGAAGUGGGAACGCAGGGGUCUGCAAAACCUCGAUGAGCCGGUUCGAUCCCGGCCGUGGCCUCCA
rnacentral:tRNA from 1 species